rnacentral:rRNA from 1 species
ACGAACGCUGGCGGCGUGCUUAACACAUGCACGUCGAACGGAAAGGCCCUGCUUUUGUGGGGUGCUCGAGUGGCGAACGGGUGAGUAACACGUGAGUAACCUGCCCUUGACUUUGGGAUAACUUCAGGAAACUGGGGCUAAUACCGGAUAGGAGCUCCUGCUGCAUGGUGGGGGUUGGAAAGUUUCGGCGGUUGGGGAUGGACUCGCGGCUUAUCAGCUUGUUGGUGGGGUAGUGGCUUACCAAGGCUUUGACGGGUAGCCGGCCUGAGAGGGUGACCGGCCACAUUGGGACUGAGAUACGGCCCAGACUCCUACGGGAGGCAGCAGUGGGGAAUAUUGCACAAUGGGCGGAAGCCUGAUGCAGCAACGCCGCGUGCGGGAUGACGGCCUUCGGGUUGUAAACCGCUUUCGCUUGUGACGAAGCGUGAGUGACGGUAAUGGGUAAAGAAGCACCGGCUAACUACGUG